rnacentral:rRNA from 1 species
UACGAAGGGGGCUAGCGUUGUUCGGAAUUACUGGGCGUAAAGCGUGCGCAGGCGGCUUCCCAAGUCAGUGGUGAAAGCCCGGAGCUCAACUCCGGAAAUGCCAUUGAAACUGUGAAGCUCGAGAACGAGAGAGGUGAGUGGAAUUCCCAGUGUAGAGGUGAAAUUCGUAGAUAUCAGGAGGAACACCGGUGGCGAAGGCGGAUCUCUGGGCCAUUACUGACGCUGAGGAGCGAAAGCGUGGGGAGCGAACAGG